UACGUAGGGUGCGAGCGUUGUCCGGAAUUAUUGGGCGUAAAGAGCUUGUAGGCGGUUUGUCGCGUCUGCCGUGAAAAUCCGAGGCUCAACCUCGGACUUGCGGUGGGUACGGGCAGACUAGAGUGUGGUAGGGGAGACUGGAAUUCCUGGUGUAGCGGUGAAAUGCGCAGAUAUCAGGAGGAACACCGAUGGCGAAGGCAGGUCUCUGGGCCACUACUGACGCUGAGAAGCGAAAGCGUGGGGAGCAAACAGG
rnacentral:rRNA from 1 species